rnacentral:rRNA from 1 species
GUUAUAUGGUCAAGUGAAGAAGCGCAUACGGUGGAUGCCUUGGCAGUCAGAGGCGAUGAAAGACGUGGUAGCCUGCGAAAAGCUUCGGGGAGUCGGCAAACAGACUUUGAUCCGGAGAUGUCUGAAUGGGGGAACCCAGCCAUCAUAAGAUGGUUAUCACACACUGA